rnacentral:rRNA from 1 species
UACGUAGGGUGCGAGCGUUGUCCGGAAUUACUGGGCGUAAAGAGCUCGUAGGUGGUUUGUCGCGUUGUUCGUGAAAACUCACAGCUCAACUGUGGGCGUGCGGGCGAUACGGGCAGACUGGAGUACUGCAGGGGAGACUGGAAUUCCUGGUGUAGCGGUGGAAUGCGCAGAUAUCAGGAGGAACACCGGUGGCGGAAGGCGGGUCUCUGGGCAGUAACUGACGCUGAGGAGCGAAAGCGUGGGGAGCGAACAGG